UUAUUUAACCUUGAAGUUUAGACCUAUGACUUUCUUAUAAUAAUAUUUUUUUCCCCGGGGAUGGAUUAUUUCUUAUAUUUUAAUAUAAUUUAAAUAAAAUCCUUUUUGCUUUAUUUCUCCUUUUUAUUGAUUGUCACAUAUUGAGAAGAGGAGUCUUUAAUUCUAGAGUGGAAACGUAAUGUGUAAAUAUUAUGAGUGCAUGAAGGAUCCUUCAAGGAUCUUUGGUUAUAAGGCACACCUCCUUCUUUAUAACUCGAUACUGAAAUAUCUAUAGAACAAAUAGCGUGUCACUUCCAAACGGUUCAAAGUCUAACGAAUUCCAGUUCAUAUUGAAUUUAUAGAUUUUUUUUUUUUUAAUUAUUUACAUUGCAUGCGUUGAGAGACAUUCAAUUCUAUUGUUUAUCUUAAAAAUGCUUUUAUUUUUAUUUUCUUGUUUUUGUGCAAAGAAUUAGAAAAAAUAACUUCAAAAAAAAAUUUUCACAUUUCCUGCUGAGUUAUUAAAAAAAAAAAAAAUUUUUUAUUUUAGAAAUAACGGAACGAUGAAUAUUAAAUGGAAUGAAACGAUGUUUAUUUAAUGGAUUAAUAUUCAUUGAUGGAAUUUUAUGGAGAGUUAUAUAGUGAUGUUUGAAGGGGGGUAAUAAAAGUGAAAAUUGCGAAUUGAGCAGAAAACUGAGGUCGACAGUGUGUGGUAUAUUUUACCGGCCAUUCGUCAUUGAUCUAGGGAGAGUCUUAUAACGAGCUGGUAACGAGCUACUCAAAAACCAAUGCGCCAAGGAUCAGAGGUUGAAAUCGGACAAUCAUUCAAAUGUGCUGACAGAAGUUCCAACACAAAGGCAAAUCCAAUUUGUUCGAUGACAAAUUUUUGGUUAAAAGCAUUGGUCCAGAGGCGUGUGUAAUCCCUCCCCCCAAUGAAAAGAAUUAAAGAAACUGGUAGUCGUCGAGAUAAUCUCUCGUGUUCAAGGAAAAAGAAAGAAGAAAAAAAAAAAGGAGGCCCAGCAUCUCUCACUUAAUUACAAUUUUUGAAGACCGCAGGGAACUGUGUGUAUUUUUCCUGUCAAAACUUUGUGGCCACUUGAGGGAGAGAGACGAUUGAAAACUAUUGUGAAAAAAGGUUCAUAUUUCGAAAUCGUGUGCGGAAAAAAAAGAAGAAGAACCUGUCGAUUAGACAUUAAAGGGACACAAGUCCCUUUUGUGUUUGGAAUAUGUCCAGUAACUUUCACCCAACAUUUUGAUGUGAAUUGGUUAUUAAACUUUGGCUGUCGCAUUCACAUGAUUCAUUGCGCACGUUGUCGUUUUGUGCUAUUUCGACCUCGAGAAAUGAGAGAUUUGAAUCUAUGAUUUCCGGGUGAUGAAAUUUUGAUGCCUAAUCGAGUUUCUUUACUCAAUUAAGGCAGACAGCGUCUCAUAUAAUUCCCAAGGAUAAAUUUAGGGAAUUCUGUCAAAAUAUAAUGACUUAUUUUUAUAAACGAAUGCGGAAAAAGAUUCACUUAAGGAACCGGAAGUCGAUUUUCCUCAUGAAACGAGUCAAACGGUUUGACGAUUAAUUUCCGCUGGUAGCACAAUCGAACGAGCACAAUGUUGAUCAAGCGUUGUUCCUUUAGGAUUUCUUAGGCACUUCCGGAUUUUUUUUUUUUUUUUUUUUUUCUUUCUUGUGAAAAAGGGUAGAAAAAAUAUUUUUUUUCGGUGAGAAUUAUCAAAUGAACGAUAAUGGCGAGUGACGAUUAUGAAGAAGAAGAAGAAGAAGGUAUUCACGAUAAACACCAUGCAAGUACUGUCGUCGCGACAACGCGAGAAUCUUACUGUGAGGAGUAAAGAGGUAGAAAGAGGGAUCGAGUGGAGUUGCGAUUGGUAGAGCUCUCUCAGGUGUGUUUCCACCACGUGUGUGAAUACAACGUUUGUAUUUUCUAAUGUUAAUGUCAGGUUCCAAUGCGACUGCAAAGAGGACCAAAGAAAUCUUGAUAGGUCAUUGUCUCCAAUUUGCAAACUAUAUAUAUAUAUAUAUAUAUGUGUGUGUGUGUGUGUUUUCUGAGUUACUAUAUAUACUGAUAAUAAUUUGACUUAUAAUGCUUGCCUUCUCCACUUUUUUUAAUCUUCAAAUAUUUUAUAGUUUGAAAAAAAACUAAGAGAUAAAACAAAAACAAAAAAAAAACAUAGUAAUCAACUGUUUUUGAUGGAAAUGAUGAAAAUUGAAAGAAUUUUUACAAAUGGAAAAAAAUUGAUAUAUACAUAUAUAUAUAUAUAUAUUAUUUUUAGGCGCAGAUAAUGAUUAAUUCAAAAAUAAUAAAUUAAUAAAAAUUAUCAUUUUCUUUA